rnacentral:ncRNA from 1 species
GAAUAAGGUGCUGUGUAAUAACAGCUUAAUAGGGAAUCAUGUGUAAAUCGUGAGCUGACGCGCAACUGUAAAUAACGUAAAAUAGUUUUAUCAAAAUAAGCCAUUGCCAUGUAAAAGGUGAGAAGGCAGAUAAAAUGUUAUAAGCCAGGAGACCUGCCUAUUCUUAA